UUGGAGGGCAAGUCUGGUGCCAGCAGCCGCGGUAAUUCCAGCUCCAAUAGCGUAUAUUAAAGUUGUUGCAGUUAAAAAGCUCGUAGUUGAAUUUCGGGAUCAAUUUAUUGGUCGUGCUAUUGUACGUACUGGUAUUAUUGAUUCCUACCUUCUGACGAACCAUGAUGUCAUUAAUUUGGUGUCAUGGGGAAUCAGGACUGUUACUUUGAAAAAAUUAGAGUGUUUAAAGCAGGCUCACGCUUGAAUACAUUAGCAUGGAAUAACGAAAUAGGACGUUUGAUUCUAUUUUGUUGGUUUCUAGGAUCGACGUAAUGAUUAAUAGGGAUAGUUGGGGGCAUUAGUAUUCAAUUGUCAGAGGUGAAAUUCUUGGAUUUAUUGAAGACUAACUACUGCGAAAGCAUUUGCCAAGGAUGUUUUCAUUAAUCAAGAACGAAAGUUAGGGGAUCGAAGACGAUCAGAUACCGUCGUAGUCUUAACCAUAAACUAUGCCGACUAGGGAUCGGAUGAUGU
rnacentral:rRNA from 1 species